AAUUAAGUGUAAAUAAAAAUAGUGUAAGGCACUAUUUUAAUUAGAAUUAAAGAAGUAAAGUAUAAGUCGAAAAUGACUUAUGCUGAAAUCGGAGUAAAAACAGGAGAUUUAGAAUUUUCUGUGAGAAACGGGACUGAUAUUUUAGCAGAAAAAUUUACAAUGUCAGAAAAUUAUGAAAAUCUGAAAAUAUGUCGGGAUUAUUUUUAUGAGGCUAGAUUUAAUGUUUCAUGUCAUUCUGACAUCCGGAAAGUGGAAAAUAAAAUCCGACUGCUAUCUGCUAGAGAUUUUAGUUUGGUAGAGCUUUCGGCGACCAAAAAGGUCAAAACUGAAAACUUAAGAUAUUUUCUUUCUUAUUAAGAAAAAUCGAGCCUGACUGUCAAAUUUGAGAGAAAACGGACAUUCAGAAGGGCUCCGGCGAAAGGUAUCAAAUUCUGAGUUGCUAAACCAAAAUUAAUGUUGUGGAGGUUGAUUAUAAAAA
rnacentral:lncRNA from 1 species